GAUGAACGCUAGCGGCAGGCCUAAUACAUGCAAGUCGAACGGAGCAGCAAUGCUUAGUGGCGCACGGGUGCGUAACGCGUAUGAAACCUGCCCUUCACUGGGGGAUAACCUCUCGAAAGAGAGGCUAAUACCGCAUAAGAUAGUAGAGUGGCAUCACUUAGCUAUUAAAACUCCGGUGGUGAAGGAUGGUCAUGCGUCCAAUUAGUUAGUUGGUAGGGUAACGGCCUACCAAGACGAUGAUUGGUAGGGGGUCUGAGAGGAUGAUCCCCCACACUGGUACUGAGAUACGGACCAGACUCCUACGGGAGGCAGCAGUAGGGAAUAUUGGUCAAUGGAGGCAACUCUGAACCAGCCAUGCCGCGUGCAGGAAGAAAGGCCCUCUGGGUUGUAAAACUGCUUUUGACUAGGAACAAAUGACUCUUGCGAGAGUAGCUGAGUGUACUAGUAGAAUAAAGCCACGGCUAACUACGUGCCAGCAGCCGCGGUAAU
rnacentral:rRNA from 1 species